GGUGAGCGACGGGAUUUGAACCCGCGAUAUAAGAGUCACAGUCGAACGCCUUAACCACUUGGCCACGCCCAC
rnacentral:tRNA from 1 species